rnacentral:rRNA from 1 species
GACGAACGCUGCGGCAGGCCUAACACAUGCAAGUCGAGCGGACAGAUGGGAGCUUGCUCCCUGAAGUCAGCGGCGGACGGGUGAGUAACACGUGGGCAACCUGCCUGUAAGACUGGGAUAACUUCGGGAAACCGGAGCUAAUACCAGAUACGUUCUUUUCUCGCAUGAGAGAAGAUGGAAAGAUGGUUUCGGCUAUCACUUACAGAUGGGCCCGCGGCGCAUUAGCUAGUUGGUGAGGUAAUGGCUCACCAAGGCGACGAUGCGUAGCCGACCUGAGAGGGUGAUCGGCCACACUGGGACUGAGACACGGCCCAGACUCCUACGGGAGGCAGCAGUAGGGAAUCUUCCGCAAUGGACGAAAGUCUGACGGAGCGACGCCGCGUGAACGAUGAAGGCCUUCGGGCCGUAAAGUUCUGUUGUUAGGGAAGAACAAGUACCAGAGUAACUGCUGGUACCUUGACGGUACCUAACCAGAAAGCCACGGCUAACUACGUGCCAGCCGCCGCGGUAAUAC